AUACGUAGGGGGCGAGCGUUGUCCGGAAUGAUUGGGCGUAAAGGGCGCGUAGGCGGCCCGGUAAGUCUGGAGUGAAAGUCCUGUUUUUAAGAUGGGAAUUGCUUUGGAUACUGUCGGGCUUGAGUGCAGGAGAGGUAAGUGGAAUUCCCAGUGUAGCGGUGAAAUGCGUAGAGAUUGGGAUGAACACCAGUGGCGAAGGCGAAUUACUGGACUGUAACUGACGCUGAGUCGCGAAAGUGUGGGGAACAAACAGGAUUAGAUUCCCUGGUAGUCCACACUGUAAACGAUGAAUGCUAGGUGUAGGGGGUAUCGACCCCUUCUGUGCCGCAGUCAACACAAUAAGCAUUCCGCCUGGGGAGUACGGCCGCAAGGUUGAAACUCAAAUGAAUUGACGGGG
rnacentral:rRNA from 1 species